CCACAGCUCACAUCUUGUCAUGCUCGUACAGAAGCUCUGAGGCUUGCUGGAUGGACGUUCUAAGACUGAAGAGUUGCAGAACGGUCAAACCCAGUCCAAAUGAAUGGCAAAUUUUGGUAUUGAGGACAAUGGAGUGCACGGACAACCCAGAUGAUAUGUGGCCCACUUCCUGUGACCAACCUUAGCCUAAGUGAGAGGAAAGAGAAGAGAGGCACCUCUGUUUGACUGGGUGGUGGACGUCACACUGAUGUGUUGUGACAGCGGGCACCCUGGCUGGCAGGCUCCCAGCAUGCGCCACCAUAUUGCCCCGGUCCCCAGGGGAACGGGGAUCAGCGCGCCAGCCUUGGCAGGAAGUGAUAAUAGGCACAACACGUCUUGCUUUCGCACAUUAAGGCGAGUGAAGGGUGACAGAUCGGAACUGUGAUACUGCCAUGUGGAAGAGGAGAAAAAAGAAAAACACAAGAGGAGCAGAGGAAGGCCGUUCGCCAUGCGGCCUGGGCUGACUCGACUGCCCUGCUGCUGCCAACUUCAGCACGGACAUGCAGUCACAAUCAUGUGCUCUUUAACAAGAGGCUGAGAGGGGUAACUGACCAGGACAGAAGUUCCUGAAACAAACCCUUCAGGGUUCAUCCACUGUUCUUCAGCAAGUGCUAAACAGAUCAAUGCUUAUAAUAUUUAAAGAGUCCUAGAUGAUUUGGUAUGAUGGAAUAAAGCACAUUGUAUCAAUAGCUAUGAGGUUACCAGUUCGAGUCCCUGGAUGUUACACUAUUUGGCCCUAUACUAAGUUACAAGUAUGAGAAAGAUGUUAUGUAAAGCUCCUGGUUGGGUUGUGAAACCUUCUUGACACCAGGGUGCCAAUCCAUCAUAUGGAAAUCCCAACAGGACUUUUACUGGUACAAGGCACCAACACUAAACACACAAAGGAAACUGAUGUGCACGAGCUAUGUCAUAGAUAGUCCAAAGUCUUGAAUAACCUCCACUGAUGUCAUGAAGAUAACGCCAUCCACUUUUUAGCUGUGUGACUAGCGUAAAGGCGGCAAAUACGGCUAUUAAGGUGAGUGAAGGGUCACUGCUUAUAAAAAAUAAAUAAAAACAAAUAAAUAAUGGUAAAUAGUUGACAACAAGUUUCCAUAAGAAUCUCCAUUUGUGGAGAUAUGCUUUUUCUGUUGAGUUUUGUUUCUGUGUUUGGUUUUCAUUAUGAGCCUAUCCAGGACAAUAUCACUAAUCACUAAAUCUCACCAAACUAAUCCUGUCCCAGCUCUGUACUCUACUUGACUGGCACUCCUCUGCUGCCUGCUGCCCUUCUCGUCUCCUAGUCUCCCUCUGCCCCUUCACCCCUGGCCCAUGCUGUGUUUGGUAAAGUACUCUGCUGUGUGUGUCCUUCCAUCAGUGGGGUGAUGUGCAUCCAGUACCCAGAAUUUAGAUUCCUGCUGAACUCUCUACUCUGCUCCAACCCCAGCUUUCCCCCCCCCCCCAGCUUUCUUUGGUGACAUGUAGUGCUUAUUAUUGCUUCCAUUAUAAGAGCAAAUAAGCUUUUCUACUUGCUGCUCCUGUACUAAAAACGUUUAACAGUGUAGCAGAUAUAUUUAAACCUGUAAUCUAGAUAGAUAUUUACUACGCAAUUCAAAUUUGCACUGAAAUAAUAGAUAAGAUUAAAAAAAAAAAAGACUUGGGACUUAGAAGACAAAGGGAAUAAAUCAAAUAAACAAACAAACAAAAAUACAGCCAUGCCCAGACCCACCUGACUUGUCAUAAACAAUAAUUGAUUUGCAAUCUCAAUUAUUUAAAUGUAUUAGUAUUCUUUUCUAGGCCCAGAACUAUCCUGUGCUGAUGGAGGGUUGGUUCUCUUUUUAAGUCUUGUUCUCUCAAGGUUUCUUCCUUCAGUCAAGGGAGUUCUUCCUUGCCACUGUCACCGUUUGCUUGCUCAUAAGAAGACUAGUCCUGAUUCCUGUAAAGCUGCUUUGAGACAAUGUCUAUUGUAAAAAAAGAUGUACAUUAAUAACAUUUAAAUUGAUAAUUGAACUUCUUUUUGUUGCUGCUGCAGGUUACAAAAUAAAUACCGAUUUGGUGCUGCAGUAAACCAACUUAAACACUACUCUUUAUUGUUGACAAGUCUAUCUUUAGGUGGGUUGAUGUCUGCAUCAGAUGGCUUUCUGGGUCCAGCAGAAGAACAUCCACUUCUCUGAGUGUGGAACUGGAUCUCUGGGUGGUAAGAAUGGGUGUUCUUGUGGUCUGCCUGGCCAUCUAGUGGAGU